rnacentral:tRNA from 1 species
UACCAGUUAGCCUAGUGGUUAGGGCUAUGGAUCGCCAAUCUGGAGACGGCGGGUUCGAUUCCCGUUCCGGUCA